GACAGAGGGUGCAACCGUUGUUCGGAAUUACUGGGCGUAAAGCGCGUGUAGGCUGCUUCGAAAGUCGGAUGUGAAAGCCCUGGGCUCAACCUAGGAAGUGCAUUCGAAACUUCGAAGCUUGAGUUCUGGAGAGGAAGGCGGAAUUCUCGGUGUAGAGGUGAAAUUCGUAGAUAUCGAGAGGAACACUGGUGGCGAAGGCGGCCUUCUGGACAGUGACUGACGCUGAGACGCGAAAGCGUGGGGAGCAAACAGG
rnacentral:rRNA from 1 species